rnacentral:rRNA from 1 species
AUUGAACGCUGGCGGCAGGCCUAACACAUGCCAGUCGAGCGGAUGAAGGUAGCUUGCUACCUGAUUCAGCGGCGGACGGGCGAGUAAUGCCUAGGAAUCUGCCUGGUAGUGGGGGACAACGUUUCGAAAGGAACGCUAAUACCGCAUACGUCCUACGAGAGAAAGUGGGGGAUCUUCGGACCUCACGCUAUCAGAUGAGCCUAGGUACGAUUAGCUAGUUGGUGAGGUAAAGGCUCACCAAGGCGACGAUCGUUAACUGGUCUGAGAGGAUGAUCAGUCACACUGGAACUGAGACACGGUCCAGACUCCUACGGGAGGCAGCAGUGGGGAAUAUCGGACAAUGGGCGAAAGCCUGAUCCAGCCGUGCCGCGUGUGUGAAGAAGGUCUUCGGAUUGUAAAGCACUUUAAGUUGGGAGGAAGGGCAGUAAGUUAAUACCUUGCUGUUUUGACGUUACCGACAGAAUAAGCACCGGCUAACUUCGUGCCAGCCGCCGCAGUAAAAC